rnacentral:rRNA from 1 species
CCACACCUAAAAACUUUCCACGUGAACUGUAGUGACAAGAUUAGCGCCGUGACGCGUGCUGCUGGUGCACUUUUGUGUGUUGGCGUGCGCGCGGGCUCGGCUGAUCGAAGGCUGUGCUUUCUGCUGCGAGUGUGUGUGUGCUUUUCGGAGCGCGCGCUGCUUUGCGGCGGAGUGUGGCUGACUUACUCUUUCAAACCCCUUACCAAAUUACUGAUGUAUACUGUGAGGACGAAAGUCUUUGCUUUUAAACUAGAUAACAACUUUCAGCAGUGGAUGUCUAGGCUCGCACAUCGAUGAAGAACGCUGCGAACUGCGAUACGUAAUGCGAAUUGCAGAAUUCAGUGAGUCAUCGAAAUUUUGAACGCAUAUUGCACUUUCGGGUUAUGCCUGGAAGUAUGUCUGUAUCAGUGUCCGUACAUCAACCUUGCCUCUCUUCGUCGGUGUAGUCCGGUUAGGAGACGAGCAGAUCUGAAGCGUCUCGCGUUGUUGCUGUGCAACGGUGCGAGUCCUUUUGAAACGACACGACUCUUCUAUUUGCCUUUAGCAACUCGCUUUGGUUUGAACGCAUCGGUCUUGUACUCGUUUGCAGUCUCCGGCGACCUUGGCUUUGGACAUUAUGGAGGGCACCUCACUUCGCGGUAUGUUAGGCUCUUUGUGGCUGAACAAUGUUGCGUUUGUGGGCGUGUGUAUUUCCGUCUUUGGCUUUGAGGUGUACUGUGAGGUUGUGGGCUUGAGUGCUUGUGCUGCGUGUUAGUAGCUCGGAGGCGUUGUGUUUGCUUUAGGAUUCUGCGCGUGCAUUCGCGUGGGUGGAAGUGGUUCCAUUUGGGAAAUACUGUACUGCGCCUCUGUUUUGGGUGGCGUGUGUAUCUCAAUUGGGACCUGAUAUCAGACAAGACUACCCCGCUGAACUUAA